rnacentral:misc_RNA from 1 species
CCCUUCAGACAUGCAAAGUAAAGGAAUUGAAUGCAAGCAAAGCGGAAUAAACAAACUUUUGUGCAAUUGCAGUAAAUAUCCCAAGAAAAUGUAUCUGCAAUUUUGCAUUGCCACUUAUCUCAACAACCACCUUAGAAGAAACCUACAUAAUGGUUUUUUGCUCAUAAAAAGAUUAAUAAAAGCCUAUAUUCAGAAAGCCAAGUU